rnacentral:rRNA from 1 species
AGAGUUUGAUCCUGGCUCAGAUUGAACGCUGGCGGAAUGCUUUACACAUGCAAGUCGAGCGGCAGCGCGGGGCAACCUGGCGGCGAGCGGCGAACGGGUGAGUAACAUAUCGGAACGUAUCCAUAAGUGGGGGACAACCUGGCGAAAGCCAGGCUAAUACCGCAUACGCAGGAGACUGAAAAGUGGGGGACCGCAAGGCCUCACGCUUUAGGAGCGGCCGAUAUCCGAUUAGCUUGUUGGUGAGGUAAAGGCUUACCAAGGCUAUGAUCGGUAGCUGGUCUGAGAGGAUGAUCAGCCACACUGGAACUGAGACACGGUCCAGACUCCUACGGGAGGCAGCAGUGGGGAAUUUUGGACAAUGGGGGCAACCCUGAUCCAGCCAUUCCGCGUGAGUGAAGAAGGCCUUCGGGUUGUAAAGCUCUUUUGUUCGGGACGAAACGGUUAAGGUUAAUAACCUUGACUACUGACGGUACCGGAAGAAUAAGCACCGGCUAACUACGUGCCAGCAGCCGCGGUAAU